rnacentral:rRNA from 1 species
GAUGAACGCUGGCGGCGUGCCUAAUACAUGCAAGUCGAGCGAACAGAUAAGGAGCUUGCUCCUUUGACGUUAGCGGCGGACGGGUGAGUAACACGUGGAUAACCUACCUAUAAGACUGGGAUAACUUCGUGAAACCGGAGCUAAUACCGGAUAAGAUUUUGAACCGCAUGGUUCAAUAGUGAAAGACGGCCUUGCUGUCACUUAUAGAUGGAUCCGCGCCGGAUUAGCUAGUUGGUAAGGUAACGGCUUACCAAGGCAACGAUACGUAGCCGACCUGAGAGGGUGAUCGGCCACACUGGAACUGAGACACGGUCCAGACUCCUACGGGAGGCAGCAGUAGGGAAUCUUCCGCAAUGGGCGAAAGCCUGACGGAGCAACGCCGCGUGAGUGAUGAAGGUCUUCGGAUCGUAAAACUCUGUUAUCAGGGAAGAACAAACGUGUAAGUAACUGUGCACGUCUUGACGGUACCUGAUCAGAAAGCCACGGCUAACUACGUG